GUUCUUUUCACAAAAUAUUCAAAGGCAUUUGAAUAUAAAUAUAUAUAUCUUGUAAGAAACAUAAAUACUUAAUCGUGUCAGGUGUGUCAUAUUUCUCAUGACAUUGCAUGCAUCUUUAUUCAUUUACUUGUUCUGGGAAGUGUUCACAAAAAAGCUAUAUACAGUAGCUUUUAAUGUAGUUUGGUGAUGUCAGCACUACAAAAUUUAUUCAUUGCUUAAAUACAAAUACCUCUUUCUUACCUAAUUAUGAAACAAGAAAUGUUUAAGAAACAUGUAUGUCCAUCCCCCCCUUGCCCCUGCAAAAUUGAAAAGGGUUAUAGACAUGUAUCAUUUAAUUGAUAAUACAUGUAGUGCUAUAUACAAUUCAAGAUAUUGAGUGGACAAUAUCUUCCUAUGUCCAGAAUGCAUUGACCCCUGACCUUUGACCAUGUGUCCUCAAUAUCAAUAGGGGUCAUCUACUCCUUAGGAUGUACCAAUAAGUUUGAUGUCUGUCAAAAAAGGGGUUCUCAAGAUAUUGAGCGGACAAUAUCUUUCUAUGUCAAGAGUGGAUUGACCCUUGACCUUUGAUCAUGUAACAUCAAAAUCAAUUCACGCUUCCACUGUCGUCAGGGGAGGUGCGGUUAUCAUCUCCGCACAGCCAAUCAGAAUCGCGGAAGAAUUGUCCGCCAUUACCUCCGUCAAAACUUAUGAUGACGGAGGUUUUGAGGUACAGAUGUUUUAGCCUGAUUACUUCGAGUUCUCAUAAAAUUGGUGGAAUUGUGUGCAUCGGGGAAAUGCAACAGUGAUUCACGUUACCCAGAAAGGAUACUAGAAGUAAUGUUUAUCCCAUUUCCAAACCCAAAAUCACAUAAAGAUUAAUGUUUACGUUGGAUAAAGGCGUGCGGUUGGCCCCACAGUAAGAGCAGAAUGGACCGGCACACAAAAUUCAUUGGAUAUACUUGUAACAGCAGCACAAGUCAGAGAAUUUACAAGACCAGUUAACAACAGCAGAAAAUGCCUUUCAUCAACAGAGCAUACUUAAUCAUCAUCUGCAACUCCAGUUAUCAAUGGAAGCCCAAGAUUAACCCCACCAACAGGCCACCCCUUUUGACAUUAACAGUACUCUACAGCAAGAGAAAGAAAAAAAACAGGGUUGUUUUUAUAUUAUAUCAAUUUGAGACAUGCCACAUUUUGUACUUUGUUAGAGUUUUUUUUAUACAUCUGAGCAAAUUCCCCAGUGUGUAAAAAAAGGAGGGACAUAACAAAUAUGACAAAACAAUCGCAGUUGUUAUUAACACUGAUGAGGCUGAGACAUAAUUUUGAAAUCAAAGACUUGGCAUCAAGAUUUUGUAUUUCAACACAGUGUAUCAGUGAUAUAUUCUGUGCUUGAAUUGACCUUAUGUUGUGUUAGGUUGUGUUUCAAUAUAGUCCUAUAGGAAUGAUAUUAACAACAUGACAACUGAAUAAAAGCUCAAUUCCCAACAACCAUCGCUAUCAUUGAUUGUGCAGAAAGGAAAUCACAGAAACAAUCUUCUUUAAAACUACAGUUACAAAUUAUACAUUCUGACUACAAAUCAGCUACAACCUAAAGGGGACUUGUGGAUUGUGAUCCUUUAGGGGACACAAUGGAAACUAGCUGUAUGCUAAUUUGUGUUAUCUUGGAUAAAUAAAGGCUAUUAUUAUUAUCA